AUUGAACGCUGGCGGCAGGCCUAACACAUGCAAGUCGAACGAGUGGCGGACGGGUGAGUAAUGUCUGGGAAACUGCCCGAUGGAGGGGGAUAACUACUGGAAACGGUAGCUAAUACCGCAUACCAUCGGAUGUGCCCAGAUGGGAUUAGCUAGUAGGUGGGGUAACGGCUCACCUAGGCGACGAUCCCUAGCUGGUCUGAGGGGAUGACCAGCCACACUUGAACUGAGACACGGUCCAGACUCCUAAGGGAGGGAGGAGUGGGGAAUAGUGCACAAUGGGCGCAAGGCUGAAGCAGCCAUGCCGCGUGUAUGAAGGAGGCCUUCGGGUUGUAAAGGACUUUCAGCGGGGAGGCGUUACCCGCAGAAGAAGCACCGGCUAACUCCGUGCCAGCAGCCGCGGUAAUAC
rnacentral:rRNA from 1 species